rnacentral:rRNA from 1 species
CGUAGGGUGCGAGCGUUAAUCGGAAUUACUGGGCGUAAAGCGUGCGCAGGCGGUUUGUUAAGAUAGGCGUGAAAUCCCCGGGCUCAACCUGGGAACUGCGCUUAUGACUGGCAAGCUAGAGUACGGCAGAGGGGGGUGGAAUUCCACGUGUAGCAGUGAAAUGCGUAGAGAUGUGGAGGAACACCAAUGGCGAAGGCAGCCCCCUGGGUCGAUACUGACGCUCAUGCACGAAAGCGUGGGUAGCAAACAGGAUUAGAUACCCUGGUAGUCCACGCCCUAAACGAUGUCAACUAGGUGUUGGGAGGGUAAAACCUUUUAGUACCGGAGCUAACGCGUGAAGUUGACCGCCUGGGGAGUACGGCCGCAAGGUUG